rnacentral:rRNA from 1 species
GAUGAACGCUGGCGGCGUGCCUAAUACAUGCAAGUCGAGCGAACGGACGAGAAGCUUGCUUCUCUGAUGUUAGCGGCGGACGGGUGAGUAACACGUGGAUAACCUACCUAUAAGACUGGGAUAACUUCGGGAAACCGUAGCUAAUACCGGAUAAUAUUUUGAACCGCAUGGUUCAAAAGUGAAAGACGGUCUUGCUGUCACUUAUAGAUGGAUCCGCGCUGCAUUAGCUAGUUGGUAAGGUAACGGCUUACCAAGGCAACGAUGCAUAGCCGACCUGAGAGGGUGAUCGGCCACACUGGAACUGAGACACGGUCCAGACUCCUACGGGAGGCAGCAGUAGGGAAUCUUCCGCAAUGGGCGAAAGCCUGACGGAGCAACGCCGCGUGAGUGAUGAAGGUCCUCGGAUCGUAAAACUCUGUUAUUAGGGAAGAACAUAUGUGUAAGUAACUGUGCACAUCUCGACGGUACCUAAUCAGAAAGCCACGGCUAACUACGUG